GAACGGAGAACCGGGCCCGGGGGCAGCGGGGAACGGGAGAACCGGGAGUGGACAGCGUGGAACAGGGGAACAGGACCCGGGGGCAGCGGGGAACGGCAGAACCGGGCCCGGGGCAACCGGGAGCGGGAAGCAGGAGAGGCAGGGCUCGGAACUCGGUCCCCGAGUGAUGAACGGGUAUUGAGGCCCGCAGCUCCGGAGACCGGGAAGGGCCGAAGGAACCCCGAGGCAGAGGGAGCCUCCGGGGCUGCCUUCCCCCGUUUGGGAGCGGGCGCUGCCCCCGGAGCGGCGGGUCCUGGCCCACACCCGGCCCGGGGGCUCCUGUGGGUGCUGGCACAGCCCGUUCACAGAGGCUUUGCAUCGGUGCUGAUCCGGAGUGUUUGACUUUUGUCCCACAUUGAUCCACCCACCCACCCAUCCAUCAUCAUCCAUCCAUCCACCCAUCCAUCAUCCCUCCAUCCCUCCAUCCCUGUGUCCAUCCAUCAUCCAUCCAUCCAUCCAUCCCUACACCCAUCCAUCCAUCCAUCCAUCCCUACACCCAUCCAUCCAUCCAUCCAUCCCUCCAUCCUGGGAUGGGAUGGAAAUGGAAGGCAAACCAAAGUCCUGGAGCGGCCUUGGCUGCACACACCCUCAGCACCAUCAGACUCCACAGCCCAAGCAAUCUGUCCAGUCCUUUUCCUCUCAAAAGAAAAGGAGAUUCUUUAUUUUCCUCCCUGCAGGACCCAGGCAGCAGCUCAACCCACAGAGGACACAGGAGAGCUGGAAACACUCAAACCCUGAGCAGCUGCCAAGGAUUCUGCCCACUCCCAUGCCACGAGUCCUGCUGUAGGAAUUAAAUGAAUCACAGGGCUGGAGAAUGACCUGCUCUGACCAUCUCGGGCUCCUCACUCGUUUUCCCCACACUGGGUUUUAUAAUAUUUUUAAUUUCCCAUUGCUUGCAUUGGAUUCAUGCCACCUUUGCAGUCCCACAGUAGGAACAAAAUCCCGAGGGGUCACACAAAAGCCCCCUGGAUGUGUGUUUUUGCACCAGCACAGCAGCAGCCAGAGGGAACCGAUUUAUCCCCAAGAAGGGAAGUUCUGGCAGAUGGGAACCACGUUAACACCCUUGGGAACACUGGGUGUGUGCCAAAGGCAGUGGGGGAGCAGGAAGGGAUCCUUCUUUUGAAUCCCCCCCAGCUCUUUAUUUGGUGUUACACAAAUACAAAUAAAUAAGCACAGAGGGAGAACACAC